CAUCUGCAAAAUGAGUAUGAUAAGUAUAUGUACUUCGUAUGGUGCUUGUGAGAAUUCAGUGUUCUUUUGUUCAUAUUUUGCUAGUGAACACAUGGAGCCAGCACUGAAGGAAUUUCCCCAAGGUCAACAGCUGAUUCCAGCAAGUUGUGGGACGUGUCAGCCAAGCAGCCAAAGGGCACGUACGCAGCGGUGUCAUCGGCACGGAAAAGCUCAACUAUGAAGCCAGCCGGGCCUCCGAGCGAGUUCCGGUGCCCUGUUUCUCUCAACAAAGCUAACUACUUCCACCUGCCUCUGUAAUUCGUUCCUGGGACCAGGAA